GAUGAACGCUGGCGGCGUGCCUAAUACAUGCAAGUCGAGCGAACAGACGAGGAGCUUGCUCCUCUGACGUUAGCGGCGGACGGGUGAGUAACACGUGGAUAACCUACCUAUAAGACUGGGAUAACUUCGGGAAACCGGAGCUAAUACCGGAUAAUAUAUUGAACCGCAUGGUUCAAUAGUGAAAGACGGUUUUGCUGUCACUUAUAGAUGGAUCCGCGCCGCAUUAGCUAGUUGGUAAGGUAACGGCUUACCAAGGCAACGAUGCGUAGCCGACCUGAGAGGGUGAUCGGCCAUACCGGAACUGAGACACGGUCCAGACUCCUACGGGAGGCAGCAGUAGGGAAUCUUCCGCAAUGGGCGAAAGCUUGACGGAGCAACGCCGCGUGAGUGAUGAAGGUCUUCGGAUCGUAAAACUCUGUUAUUAGGGAAGAACAAAUGUGUAAGUAACUAUGCACGUCUUGACGGUACCUAAUCAGAAAGCCACGGCUAACUACGUG
rnacentral:rRNA from 1 species